AUGGAUGGAGGUAGCAGUAUCAACAUUCUGUAUUAUGAAACUUUUCGUCGUAUGAGCUUAACUGACAAGGAUCUUAAGCCGUCAAACACUAUUUUUCAUGGCGUGGUGCCUGGUAUGUCAGCGUUUCCGGUGGGCAAAAUAUAUUUGGAAGUUGCCUUUGGAGAUGAUUAUGACUCCAUAUCUGAGACAUUGACUUUUGAGGUGGUUAAAAUCAAGAGCCCUUAUCAUGCUCUGUUUGGAUGGCCGGCUUAUGCUAAGUUCAUGGCAAGGCCAUGUUAUGUUUAUUUGCAGCUCAAGAUGCCGGGUCACAAAGGCACCAUCACGAUGCAUGGAAGCCAAAAGAUAGCCUUGGAGUGUGAAGAAGGCGAUGCUGCUUAUGCUGAGUCUCUCUGUGCAGCAGAAGAGUUGAAGUUUUACAACGAUAAUGUUGACCCUGCGGAUAUGACAUCUUUGAAGAAGCCAACCACAGAGCAUGACCCCCUGUUGAAAUUUAAGUCGGCGGAUGACACCAAGCUAGUUGAUUUCGUUCCUGGCGAUUCAUCCAAAUAG
rnacentral:rRNA from 1 species